GGUGAGAUGGCCGAGCGGUUAUGGCGCCAGGUUAAGGAUACCUUAACAAGUUCAAAUUCCUGGUGGAGCAAUCCUCGUGGGUUCGAAUCCCACUCUCAUCA